rnacentral:rRNA from 1 species
GAAUCUUGGACAAUGGGGGCAACCCUGAUCCAGCCAUGCCGCGUGAGCGAUGAAGGCCUUAGGGUUGUAAAGCUCUUUCACCGGGGAAGAUAAUGACGGUCCCCGGAGAAGACGCCCCGGCUAACUCCGUGCCAGCAGCCGCGGUAAUACGGAGGGGGCUAGCGUUGUUCGGAAUUACUGGGCGUAAAGCGCACGUAGGCGGAUCAGUCAGUCAGGGGUGAAAUCCCGGGGCUCAACCCCGGAACUGCCUUUGAUACUGCUGGUCUGGAGGAUGAGAGAGGCGAGUGGAAUUCCGAGUGUAGAGGUGAAAUUCGUAGAUAUUCGGAGGAACACCAGUGGCGAAGGCGGCUCGCUGGCUCAUUACUGACGCUGAGGUGCGAAAGCGUGGGGAGCAAACAGG